rnacentral:lncRNA from 1 species
UAUGAAGAGAUGGAGAUAGGCACCAUAUGAACUGGUGGACCCUAAUCUGUUGGAGUUCCCAGCUCUUGUUGUGUGUGACAGCAAAAUAUGACUUACCUGUGCAGCAGAGCACAUCAGUAAUAUCUACCAGACUGAACAGGACCAUGGUUGAUGCAGAGGUUAAAC